rnacentral:lncRNA from 1 species
UCCGCCCGUGGUACCGCCCCUCUGCUGCGCGCCCCCUUGCGGCCCGGAGGACUGAAGGGGUGGGUUGGGAACGCGGGGGCGUGGUGACGCGAAGGUGACACGAAGGUGACACGAAGGUGACACGAAGGUGACACGAAGGUGACACGAAGGUGACACGAAGCCGCACCAGAAACCAUCCCCAAAUGGAGAAGGCAAUGAGAAAUGGGUGCAGAUCUGGAUAACAGAGGUGGAGUGGCGUUUUGCUGCCCUCUGCAUCACCCUCAGCGCCGCACUGACCCCGGGGCUGCGAUCUGGAAAUCCAUGCUUGCAGGGGAAACAAAACCUCAGCCCUGAGCAUCUCCCAAGCGCAGCCUUUGGGACACGGUCAGCUCCACGUCCCUGCUCUGCGUGCUGAGCCUGGAGGAUGGUGCAGAGGGAUGGAGGAUGCAGAGGGAUGGAGGAUGCAGAGGGAUGGAAGAUGCAGAAGGAUGGAGGAUGCAGAAGGAUGCAGGAUGCAUGGGACACCUGAGCCGAUGGCACAGCUCCUGCUGCAGCCAGGAUGCAACCCCUGGGACUCGCAGCCUGGUGCUCUGUGGGAAAGGGCAGCCCUGGAGCUAUAAGGAGCAGCAGCCCGACAUGCCACCAGCACUGUGCAGCUCUGCUUUUCCCACAGAGCACCAGGACCAGCCUGCUGCAUUCCUGGAAUGCUAUUUUAUCCCCAGCACGAUUUACAAAAGAGCCUGGCGAUGGCGGAGGGGCUCGGCGGUGACCUUGUUUAUAUUGCGGGAGCGAUAG